GCUGAGCAGGCGUGGGAAACGGCUGUCGUUUGUACUCGAAUAAUCCUGAAAGUCAGUAGAGCAAUAUUCAGGUCCCUGAGGACUUGGCAUUCCACACCUCUUCUGGCUCCAGGAGAUGGAGAAGAGUUGAUUCAAACCUUCCACUCAAACACUCCAGCAAGCCGGGACUGCUGUGUAACAUCAGCGUCCUCUUACCAUAUGUCCAAAGGGAGUGCAUGUCUCUCUCCUCCAGCCAACGAAACUUGGGGGCUCAAUUCUGACGGGACCAACUAAGGUCAUGUGACCAGCAUGUCCAGUUACUGCGACUGAGAGAUACCAUACGCGGAUUGGCCACAGCAUCCGUUCCUUACCCAUGUCUGGCUUAUUCAGAGUCUUAAAGUGGGUACCACCAUGCUUAGUAACUUUGGCCAUUCAUAACCCACCAUGGAGGCCUUGAGCUAUAGAUAAGAGGAAACCGAAGUCUGUGCGGGAAGAGAGCUGUCCCAACAAUGUCUAGAAAGUGACACAGUCAGAUUCGCAGCAUACUGGUCUCAUCCAGAACCAUGCUUCACCACUGGCCCGUCUGCCUGCUGUUCCCCUGUGCUUGGACCCCAGGACUGAGUGGGACCAGCAAGUCCAUGACACCCACAAGGCUGACGCUCUGUAUGGAUGCUCUUCUCUUCUGACCUCUUA